rnacentral:rRNA from 1 species
CCUACGGGAGGCAGCAGUGAGGAAUAUUGGUCAAUGGACGAGAGUCUGAACCAGCCAAGUAGCGUGAAGGAUGACUGCCCUAUGGGUUGUAAACUUCUUUUAUAUGGGAAUAAAAUGUUCCACGUGUGGGAUUUUGUAUGUACCAUAUGAAUAAGGAUCGGCUAACUCCGUGCCAGCAGCCGCGGUAAUACGGAGGAUCCGAGCGUUAUCCGGAUUUAUUGGGUUUAAAGGGAGCGUAGGUGGAUUGUUAAGUCAGUUGUGAAAGUUUGCGGCUCAACCGUAAAAUUGCAGUUGAAACUGGCAGUCUUGAGUACAGUAGAGGUGGGCGGAAGUCGUGGUGUAGCGGUGAAAUGCUUAGAUAUCACGAAGAACACCGAUUGCGAAGGCAGUUCACUGGACUGCAACUGACACUGAGGCUCGAAAGUGUGGGUAUCAAACAGGAUUAGAUACCCCAGUAGUC